rnacentral:rRNA from 1 species
CGGACGGGUGAGUAACGCGUGGGAAUCUACCUAGUAGCGGAGGAUAACUCGGGGAAACUCGAGCUAAUACUGCAUACGCCCUACGGGGGAAAGCGGGGGAUCUUCGGACCUCGCACUAUUAGAUGAGCCCGCGUGAGAUUAGCUUGUUGGUGAGGUAAAGGCUCACCAAGGCGACGAUCUCUAGCUGGUCCGAGAGGAUGAUCAGCCACACUGGGACUGAGACACGGCCCAG